CCGAAGUAAAUGUCCGCUUUCUGAUUUAUUUCCAUUUCCCUCCGAGGGAAGUUGGGGCGUUUGUGAAGCGUCUCCUGCGGCCGGAGUCUGAUGUAUCGCUGAGAGGAUGGGAAUCGAGCCCAUGACUCUGUGACCUGGAGGUGGAGGGAAAGGGACAGAGAAGAUAUGGAGAGAAAAGAGCCACGCAACCCAACUACCGGCUUGUUAUUUCAAGAAACAUACAAGUAUCUGUGAAACAAGAGGAUCUGCAGAUGCUAGAAAUCUGGAGAACUACACACAAAGUGCUGGAGGAGCUCAGCAUGUCAGGCAGCAUCUAUGCAUGGGAAUCAACAUUUCAGGCCAAGACCCUUCACUGGGACUCUUGAUACCCACGUAUCUGGAAAAUCAACAAGCAAAUACAAUAGAAAGUAGUGCAAAAUCGAGAAAACCUUUGACAAAAUUUAGUUCAAGGCUGAAAAAAAAACCUGCCAAACAGAGCUAAAUAGUUGACAAAUACAACAAAGGCAAUAAACAGUUUCACCAAUACCGACACUGACUUUUUUUUAAUAUAAAAAUAUCUUGGUCCCAUUUCAAUCAGUAAAAUUUACAAAGAUAAAUAAGAACUGAAGUGACAACUUUAGAAAAGACUAUUUAAACUCAACCCACUUAGAUUAACACUACCUUGGACAGAAGGAGGAAGAGAAAAAACAUACAUGAAAAACAAAAAUCACACAACAGUCAGAAUAAAACUUCUAGGUAUAUAUUUCCAUCAAAAAUGAACAGGAUUCAACGCUCCAUGUGUGUAUAUGCAAUCGUGAUAAGAAAUUCAGACCAGAAAAUUUUAAUGACAGACCAACUCAGAGAGAUGAAUCAUCACUGUGGAAGAAAACAUUAACCAGUGGAAUGAGUAUGACCCUCCAUGGGAGACAUCCCAAUGAUCUGAGCAGACGAGACGGUGACAAAGAAGCAUCGAGCACCUGACUGAGAGUUGGAGACCUCUUCCCAGAAACAGAGGGGGUCCUUGCAGAAAUACAGGACAAGGUGGUUAACAAAAGGAAGAAAAAUUGAAAAUACAUGAAAUACAAACAAGCAAGACAGUAAGUGCAGAAAAUGCUAAGAGAAACCAGAGACAAUCCAACACAUUGCGGGAUCCUGCAGCAGUUUAACUCAAUCUGAUUACUUACAAAGGUACAAUCAAGUGGCAAAUAUCACUCACCAAAUUCUUGCUUUAAAAUACAAACUCACGAAUGCCCUCCGUCGCUUCAUAAAGGCACCAUAAAUUCAAGCCUGAUCCAGUUUUAUAGUCAAAAUCUUACAAAUUAUAUGAUAAUCAAUACAUUAUUUCAGAUAGGACAAUCCAUAAUAACCAUCCAGAUAUAAUAUGACAGGAUAAACAAGCAGGAACAACUCCCUCAAUAGAUAAAACCAUUCCCAACACACACAUGUUCCUUGACCAGUCGAGCACCUCACCACAGGUAUUAUUUGUGUCAUCUGUCAGACAAACAAAAGGUUUUCUCUGUCAAUCACCUUCCAAAUGUUGCUACUCUGUCAUUUGUUGCCACGUCCCGCUGCUGAUUCCCUUCUUCUCAUCAUACGUUCUUACCCCAACCAUCGUCCAGAGCCCCAAACUCUGCCCUGUGCAGACCUGCCUCUGGUUUCUGACCCUGCUCCAUUGAAAAUCCAACUGAUGGUUUCCCAAUCUGCUUUCAGUCUUUAGAGGACAGUGGUGUUUUCUAACAACCCUUUAGAAGCAGGGAAAAUGACCCAUAAUGUGGAAAUGAGUCGUAAUUAAGGAGGUUAACUACCAGUGUUAUUCUUCGUCAGUCCAGAGAUUUCAGUGGGAAGAACAUCUCAGACAGAACUGCAGUCAGCUCGACUCCUUCAGUCUGCAGAAAAUUCAAGGGAAACCUCUUCACCCACAGAGUGGCGACUGUUUGGAACCCAUCACCACAGGGAGAGCGAGAGAUGAACAACAGGGCAGGAUUUAAAAGGACUGCCGUGGAACAGAAUCACUGGCAGGGUACAGCCGGCCUGAGUUGACUCUCUACUGUACACUAAGUAUGUUAUAAAUUCACUAAGUACCGGAGACAGAGCUCAAAAUAGAACUGAUUUAUUUGUCUCAGAUCCGGAUUAUUAAACUCCAGUCCCAUUAAAGGUGAAUAUGCAGCAGAAGAAACUCCUCCAAUGCCCAGUGACCAGGGUGCAGAACUGGGUGUGGUGACCAGCAGCAAUAAUUGCAGAGUUCAGCACCGAUAGUCAUUCUCGAAAUUGUAUUCAGCAAUGGUGAUGGACAAAUAUCCAGCAAGCAGCUUAUUGAAACUUUCUCCUCAGUGUGAACCCAGUAAUGUGUCACAAGGUUAGAUGACUGAGUGAAUCCCUUCCCACAUUCACAGCAGGUGAACCACCUCUCCCCGGUGUGAACUGAAUGAUGCACGUUUGGUGAAGAUGGCU